UCCCCAAAAUUUAACCUAAACCCUUUAUUUUUAUCGAGUAAUUCUAUAAAUCUAUAGAAGAUAUCAUGUUAAAACUAGUAACAAGAAGAAAACCCUUCUCUUAAAUGCAAGUGUAAGCCAGAAAGGAUAAACCGCUGUCAAUUAACACUACUGACUCUUUAAUAGCAACACUACAAGAAAACUCUAUUUUUUUAAGCGUUAAACUAACACAAGAGCAUUUCAAGAAAGAUUAAAAGAAAAAGAAGGAACUCGGCAAACACUAACCCCGCCUGUUUACCAAAAACAUCGCCUCUUGAGAAAUAUAAGAGGUCCAGCCUGCCCAGUGACCUAGUUCAACGGCCGCGGUAUCCUAACCGUGCGAAGGUAGCGUAAUCACUUGUUCUUUAAAUAAGGACUAGUAUGAAUGGCACCACGAGGGUUUAACUGUCUCCUUUUUCUAAUCAGUGAAACUAAUCUCCCCGUGAAGAAGCUGGGAUUUUUUUAUAAGACGAGAAGACCCUAUGGAGCUUUAAACUAUUUUACACCUGCUGCCCACAAACCAACUUCCAGAAAUUAACCCUAAAGCAUAGCACUUUGAUUAAUAGUUUUUGAUUGGGGUGAUCGCGGAGUAAAAAAUAACCUCCACGACGAAAGGAUUUUUCCUGAGCCAUAAGCCACAGCUUUAAGCACUAAUAUUAUUAACGGCUAUUGACCCAAUAAUUUUGAUCAACGAACCAAGUUACCCUAGGGAUAACAGCGCAAUCCACUUCAAGAGCUCCUAUCGACAAGUGGGUUUACGACCUCGAUGUUGGAUCAGGGUAUCCUAGUGGUGCAGCCGCUACUAAC
rnacentral:rRNA from 1 species